rnacentral:rRNA from 1 species
GACGAACGCUGGCGGCGUGCCUAAUACAUGCAAGUCGAGCGGACCUCUUCGGAGGUCAGCGGCGGACGGGUGAGUAACACGUGGGCAACCUGCCUGUAAGACUGGGAUAACACCGGGAAACCGGUGCUAAUACCGGAUAAUCCUUUUCCUCACAUGAGGGGGCGCUGAAAGACGGUUUCGGCUGUCACUUACAGAUGGGCCCGCGGCGCAUUAGCUAGUUGGUGGGGUAACGGCCCACCAAGGCGACGAUGCGUAGCCGACCUGAGAGGGUGAUCGGCCACACUGGGACUGAGACACGGCCCAGACUCCUACGGGAGGCAGCAGUAGGGAAUCUUCCGCAAUGGACGAAAGUCUGACGGAGCAACGCCGCGUGAGCGAAGAAGGCCUUCGGGUCGUAAAGCUCUGUUGUCUGGGAAGAACACGUACCGGAGUAACUGCCGGUACCUUGACGGUACCUGACCAGAAAGCCACGGCUAACUACGUGCCAGCCGCCGCAGUAAUAC